UACAGAGGUCUCAAGCGUUGUUCGGAUUCAUUGGGCGUAAAGGGUGUGUAGGUGGCGCCGUAAGUCGGGUGUGAAAUUUCGGAGCUUAACCCCGAAACUGCAUUCGAUACUGCGGUGCUUGAGGACUGGAGAGGAGACUGGAAUUCAUGGUGUAGCAGUGAAAUGCGUAGAGAUCAUGAGGAAGACCAGUGGCGAAGGCGGGUCUCUGGACAGUUCCUGACACUGAGACACGAAGGCCAGGGGAGCAAACGGG
rnacentral:rRNA from 1 species